AUUGAACGCUGGCAGCAUGCUUUACACAUGCAAGUCGAACGGUAACAGGUUAAGCUGACGAGUGGCGAACGGGUGAGUAAUGCAUCGGAACGUGCCCGGUCGUGGGGGAUAACGCAGCGAAAGCUGCGCUAAUACCGCAUACGAUCUGAGGAUGAAAGCGGGGGACCGUAAGGCCUCGCGCGAUCGGAGCGGCCGAUGUCAGAUUAGGUAGUUGGUGGGGUAAAGGCUCACCAAGCCAACGAUCUGUAGCUGGUCUGAGAGGACGACCAGCCACACUGGGACUGAGACACGGCCCAGACUCCUACGGAAGGCAGCAGUGGGGAAUUUUGGACAAUGGGCGAAAGCCUGAUCCAGCAAUGCCGCGUGCAGGAAGAAGGCCUUCGGGUUGUAAACUGCUUUUGUACGGAGCGAAAAGGUCUCCUCUAAUACAGGGGGCUCAUGACGGUACCGUAAGAAUAAGCACCGGCUAACUGCGUGCCAGCCGCCGCCGUAA
rnacentral:rRNA from 1 species